GCAAGCUGCAUCCGGUGAUUGCUGCUGGUUACCUGUUUCCUUUGUGAAAGUGAGCAGCAGCUUGUGCUGCUGCUGCAUCCCGUCGUGUGGACGGAAGGAACUCAGAUAAGAUACUCAAGUGCUGCAAGGUAAUGUGAAAAAGAGCGGAGAAAUGAAACUCCCUUAUCUAUGGAAAAGUGAGGAUUUGCUGAGAAAAACGGAAUCGGAGCGAGAGAAUAUUGUCUGGGAAUGGAAAGAGCUGCAAAGGUUUCUCCGAGAUCAAGAAGAGCUCUUGUUAAGGCAGUUGGAAGAGCUAGAGAAGGACAUCAUCGCCAGGCGAGACGAGCACCUAUCCAGAAAUGGCCGCGGCCGAGCCAGCCGGCGGCAAGGAGAAAAGAAACCUCUGUCAAAGAGUCUCAGAAGGGCGACCAAGGGCAGGAAGAAUGGGGCAUUUUCUAAAUGUCAGAGAGACUUCAUUGAGGUGGAGUGCAGGUUCAACCGCUUUUUGAGAAAGAGGAUUGAACUAAGAGAAGUUUUAUGUACAUUUAAAGGUGAGUUCAGACGGACGAUGGACAUGUUGGUCUAGGACAGUGGUGGCUAACCUUUUUGGGCUCCUGUGCC
rnacentral:lncRNA from 1 species